rnacentral:rRNA from 1 species
AUUGAACGCUGGCGGCAGGCCUAACACAUGCAAGUCGAACGGUAACAGGAAGAAUCUUCCUGGUUUCCUGGCGGGUGGCGGGCGGAAGGGCAAUGUCUGGGCCACUUCGUGGGGGAUGGGGAUCAGUACUGGAAACGAUUACCAAUACCGCAUAGCGGCGCAAGGCCGGGGAGGUUGGGCUUCCGGCCUCUUACCUGCGCCUAGGUCGGAUUAGCUAGUUGGUGGGGUAAGGGCCUACCCAGGCGACGAUCCGUAACUGGUCUGAGAGGAUGAGCAGUCACACUGGAACUGAGACACGGUCCAGACUCCUACGGGAGGCAGCAGUGGGGAAUAUUGGACAAUGGGCGAAAGCCUGAUCCAGCCAUGCCGCGUGUGUGAAGAAGGUCUUCGGAUUGUAAAGCACUUUAAGUGGGGAGGAAGGGCAGUAAGUUAAUACCUUGCUGUUUUGACGUUACCAACAGAAUAAGCACCGGCUAACUUCGUG